CAAUAGCGUAUAUUAAAGUUGUUGCAGUUAAAAAGCUCGUAGUUGGACUUCUGAUGUGGGACUGCGCCCCGGUAUUUUGCCGUUGGGUGCGGGCUCGCGUCUUCCUCUCGUAGUUGGAUGGUGCACUUAACUGGGUGCCUUCUGAAUAUGGGACCUUACUUGAAAAAAUUAGAGUGUUCAAAGCAGGCAAUCGCUUGAAUACAUUAGCAUGGAAUAAUAGAAUAGGACUUUGGUUCUAUUUUGUUGGUUUCUAGGACCGAAGUAAUGAUUAAUAGGGACAGUUGGGGGCAUUUGUAUUAACGCGUCAGAGGUGGAAUUCUUGGAUUGCGUUACGACAAACUACUGCGAAAGCAUUUGCCAAGGAUGUUUUUCAUUGAUCAAGAACGAAAGUAUGGGGAUCGAAGACGAUCAGAUACCAU
rnacentral:rRNA from 1 species